rnacentral:lncRNA from 1 species
CGAACGCCGGUCUCGAUUGAGGCCGGUUGACGUCACCAUUAACGCAAACCAAUUGACAAAAUUUAUUUAUUUAUUUAUUCUUUAAUAAAAAGAAAAUCAAACGAAAUUCAGAAAGAAACGAAAAUCCGGCAAAAGGUUUAGCUCUGAUACCACAUGUUAGAAACUUUAUGAGAAAUUAGAUCGUACCUUCUGCCAUGAUUUCGAUUUCUGUACCCGAUUUGUAAGCGGCGAUCCUUGUUCGUGGUUCGUCCUCGUUCGUGAUCUGCAAGAAGACGGGACGUUUCGAGUCUAAUUCCCUUAUUCCCGGAGAUGGAGCCGUCACAGACAAUUAGAUUAGGGUUAGACCGGGACUCCCGUAUAUUACAUAUUUAUAUAUAAUUUAAUAUAAGGAUGUUAAAUCACGUUCGUCCAUCAAGGACAUGUCCAGAUACAUCCUAACCAUAAGAUCUAAAAUAUCUUUAUAGAUCGACUUAAAUAGAUUGACAGUAUCUUUAUGGAUCGCCUUGAAUAUAUCACGUGGGCCACAUCCAACAAAUCAUACAUCUUUUUUAAAGUGUACAUCUAACUAAACGUACUCCCAAAAUAGGCGUGUAAAUUUAAAUUACAGUCCACCUAUAUCCAAGGAUCGAAAGAAUUUUUAUGAAAUUUUAGUAUUAAAAAAAAUAGAAUUGUGAUAAAACUAGUGCGAUUAAAUUGAUCCGACCAUUGGAUGCAUUGCUCUUACAUGGGACAAACAUAGGAGGCAUCUAUUAAGCAUGGACAAGAAGAGGUGCAACUUGCCAUUGUUUUAGAACCUACUCAUGCAACUUGCCAUGCAAUAUUGUUUAUAAUCUACUCAACUACCGUAAAAUAAUAAUGAUAUAAGGGCAAAUUACGCAGUCCUCAAACUAUGAGGUAUGUGAUGCUUUGGUCCUCCAACCGUACAUAUAGUUGAUGUAAAAGUAAUAUAACAUCGUAAUUCACUACAACAAAAGCGGUCUAUAGCGACACUUUUAAAUGUAGGUACAUGUCAAAAAAAUGCUGCUAGCUAAAAUUACCGACACUUUUAAAAAGCGUUGCUAUAUGUGGGGUCGCUAGGUAUAUAGUGACAGUUAAAGAGUGUCGCUAUAACCUAAAAGAGUGCUGCUA